CUUUUGAGAAUUGUGGUUGAACUCCUUUGAUGAAGCUCUUGUUGGCACCAUAAAUUGGUUUUACUUCACAUUGUCUUGAUCAAGAGUGUGUGAAGCUUUUGAGAAUUAUGGUUGCCCUCCAUUGAUGAAGCUCUUGUUGUUGGCACCAUAAAUUGGUUUUGCUUCACACUGUCUUAAUCAAGAGUGUGUGAAGCUUUUGAGAAUUGUGGUUGCCCUCUAUUGAUGAAGCCUUUGUUGGCACCAUAAAUUGGUUUUGCUGCACACUGUCUUGAUCAAAAGUGUGUGAAGCUUUUGAGAAUUGUGGUUGAACUCCUUUGAUGAAGUUCUUGUUAUCACCAUAAAUUGGUUUUGCUUCACACUGUCUUGAUCAAGAGUUUGUGAAGCUUUUGAGAAUUGUGGUUGCCUUGCAUUGAUGAAGCUCUUGUUGGCACCAUAAAUUGGUUUUGCUUCACACUGUCUUGAUAAAAAGUGUGUGAAGCUUUUGAGAAUUGUGGUUGAACUCCUUUGAUGAAGCUCUUGUUGGCACCAUAAAUUGGUUUUGCUUCACACUGUCUUGAACAAGAGUGUGUGAAGCUUUUGAGAAUUGUGGUUAAACUCCUUUGAUGAAGCUCUUGAUAAAGAGUGUGUGAAACUUUUGAGAAUUGUGGUUGAACUUCUUUGAUGAAGCUCUUGUUGGCACCAUAAAUUGGUUUUGCUUCA
rnacentral:lncRNA from 1 species